rnacentral:tRNA from 1 species
GUAUUUUUGGAAGGCUUGAUUUGUAGAGCAACUGAUUUGUAAUCAGUAGGUCGGGAGUUCGAGUCUCUCAACAGGCACCA